AUUGAACGCUGGCGGCAGGCCUAACACAUGCAAGUCGAGCGGGGAAAGGUAGCUUGCUACCUGACCUAGCGGCGGACGGGUGAGUAAUGCUUAGGAAUCUGCCUAUUAGUGGGGGACAAAAUCUCGAAAGGUAUGCUAAUACCGCAUACGUCCUACGGGAGAAAGCAGGGGACCUUCGGGCCUUGCGCUAAUAGAUGAGCCUAAGUCGGAUUAGCUAGUUGGUGGGGUAAAGGCCUACCAAGGCGACGAUCUGUAGCGGGUCUGAGAGGAUGAUCCGCCAGCAGGGGAAGCAGAAACGGCAGCACGCUCCCAAGCAGGCAGCACAGGGGAAGAAUCGACAAUAGGGGGACGCCUAACCCAUCCAUGACCCGCGUCUGACUAAGGACCUUUGGUUGUCAAGCACUUUAAGUGAGGAGGAGCCUAACGAGUUUAAUCCUCUUAGAUACUUGACGUAACUCGCAGAAUAAGCACCGGCUAACUCUGUG
rnacentral:rRNA from 1 species